CUCCGGAAAUGAGAGAGAAAGUGUGAAACAAAUCAUGUUCUCUUUUUACGAGGUCUCUACUAUGUAAAUCAAAAAAGAAGAAGAAGAAGAAAGAUGUCUUCGAUGAUCAAUCUAGUGACUUUGGUACCAAGGAUUUGGAUUUCAAGGAAGAGAAGCUAGGAGUUGCAGAUUACAAAUCCCUCUGAUAUGAGUUUGAUGCUUGCGUUGCGGGUGAGAAAAUGGGUUCUGGAGAUGCGAGGACAUUGAGUUACUCAUGAAGUAGGAGAUUUGCUGAUUUGGUUUGGAGAAAGGAAAAAGAUGGACGCGGACCCCACUCCACCACCAUCUUCUCUCUUCUUCAACCACGAUCCCUCUCCACCAUCGGACCCAAUCCUCCAUCGACGAGCUCCUUCUCCGUUUAACUCCAUCGUCUCUCUCAUCAACACGAGAAGCAACUCAACAACUGAGGUAAUACACUUAUUCGUAUUCAUUGUUAAAUUCAAAACUCGUUGGCAUGAAGUAGAGUUGUUGUGGAUUGUAUUUGUUCCCUAUUGAACUAUUAACAUUGUAGAUUUGGAUUUGAUCCGAUUUUUCUUAUCCUCAUUGUCAAUUAGGGAUAUGAGUCGAAUUGGGUCGACUAUUUUUCAUAAUGUGUGCAUUGUAACAGUUCAAUCGAAUUGAAUCGUAGGAAUGUAUUCGAAAA